UAAAAAUGCACAAUUUAAUCAGUUCUUAGAAAACUGUUCGUAACUUGAAAGCGCUUCGACUUUUGAUUGUGCAAGUUAGACUAGGAAGAAAGACCAGUCAAAGAUCUAUCAAAGAUCUACAAAAUGAUGCCCGAAUCGCUUACUAUCUCGAAGGAUUGGCUGUGAUCUGCUUCUGUCAAGCGCUACACAAAGUACUGGGUGUAGCUUAUAACCUGAGGCAGCUAUGUGUAUAGAGAGAAACAGUGGCAGUGGUAAAAAGGUGUGACUGGAUCCAAUAAUCCAG